AACAGAAGGGAUGUAGGGAUAGGUUGCUUAUUUAUAAAUCUGAUGACUUUUAAAGCCAAGCUCCCUACUUUUUAAGCCUGUCUGCUGAAACGUUGCACUCUUUGGGUUGGUACCUGAGCUGUGAUGGCUCUGCAGGACUGGAAUUGCUCGCCAGCACCAAUUAAUUAAAGCCAUCUUCCCAGAAGUGCUCUGCUAUCAGCAUCUGCAGCCAUGCUUACUGCCCUGAAGGCAAAAGUGAAGCAAAGCGAUGACUUGCUGUUCCCUGAAGCCACGCUUCCCUGGUGCUGUGUGGGAAAAGCA
rnacentral:lncRNA from 1 species